CUUGGCAUUGAGGGUUCAACACGUUCCUUCUUCUCUGUUCUCCAGGUCCUCGGCUUCAUCGCCACAAUAUUUUUCGCCUUUGAUUUCUACCUGAUCUUCGACGACUUGACCAAGUUCCUUGAGAAAGGAGAGCCCACAUGAGAGACGGAGGCGCAGAAAUCAGACGAAUCCUCCCAAUGCAUUCACACUGGGAACAAAGUACGGUACAGAGUAUAUUACGGGAGAGACAGCUGAUAUGUACGAUGCGCUGAACAGUCAGGCAGACAAAUUGUUAAAGGGGGCACUCCAGCCAUCAAAUGCACCUUAAUGUGACACGUCAUUUACUUACUGCCAGUGAGCUGCAGCUUCUCCCUAAGAUGAAGAAUUGGAUUCAGACUCGGAUUAAACGUGAACUUUACUGCAUCUUUACUGCAAC